AGUGAACGCUGGCGGUAGGCCUAACACAUGCAAGUCGAACGGCAGCACAGUAAGAGCUUGCUCUUACGGGUGGCGAGUGGCGGACGGGUGAGGAAUACAUCGGAAUCUACUUUUUCGUGGGGGAUAACGUAGGGAAACUUACGCUAAUACCGCAUACGACCUACGGGUGAAAGCAGGGGAUCUUCGGACCUUGCGCGAUUGAAUGAGCCGAUGUCGGAUUAGCUAGUUGGCGGGGUAAAGGCCCACCAAGGCGACGAUCCGUAGCUGGUCUGAGAGGAUGAUCAGCCACACUGGAACUGAGACACUGUCCAGACUCCUACGGGAGGCAGCAGUGGGGAAUAUUGGACAAUGGGCGCAAGCCUGAUCCAGCCAUACCGCGUGGGUGAAGAAGGCCUUCGGGUUGUAAAGCCCUUUUGUUGGGAAAGAAAAGCAGCAGGUUAAUACCCCGCUGUUCUGACGGUACCCAAAGAAUAAGCACCGGCUAACUUCAUG
rnacentral:rRNA from 1 species